rnacentral:rRNA from 1 species
UACGUAGGGUGCGAGCGUUGUCCGGAAUUAUUGGGCGUAAAGGGCUCGUAGGCGGUCUGUCACGUCGGGAGUGAAAACACGGGGCUUAACCCCGUGCCUGCUUCCGAUACGGGCAGACUAGAGGUAUGCAGGGGGAGAACGGAAUUCCUGGUGUAGCGGUGAAAUGCGCAGAUAUCAGGAGGAACACCGGUGGCGAAGGCGGUUCUCUGGGCAUUACCUGACGCUGAGGAGCGAAAGUGUGGGGAGCGAACAGG